rnacentral:rRNA from 1 species
GAUCAUGGCUCAGGAUGAACGCUGGCGGCGUGCUUAACACAUGCAAGUCGAACGAAGCACUUUAAUUGAUUUCUUCGGAAUGAAGAUUUUGUGACUGAGUGGCGGACGGGUGAGUAACGCGUGGGUAACCUGCCUCAUACAGGGGGAUAACAGUUGGAAACGACUGCUAAUACCGCAUAAGCGCACAGGAUUGCAUGAUCCGGUGUGAAAAACUCCGGUGGUAUGGGAUGGACCCGCG